AUGCUCCAUUACUCUCCAAUGUUUGAUAUGCUUGAUGCAAAUGUUCCACGGGAUAAUAAGGCAAGAAAGAUGAUUGAGAGGAUCCUAUUUGGGAUGGAUGCACUUAACAUCAUAGCAUGUGAGGGCGCAGACAGAACUGAGAGGCCCGAAAGUUACAGGCAGUGGCAAGCAAGGUGCCUCAAGGCUGGGUUCCAGCAGCUUCCUGUCGAUCAAGCCAUCUUAAAGAACAUAGUACACAUGAAGAACUCACUUUAUCACGAGGAAUUCUUUGCUGUUGAAGAUCGCGGUUGGCUACUACAAGGAUGGAAAGGGAGAGUACUUUAUGCUAUAUCUAAAUGGAAACCUGAUGAAACAUAUGAUAAUCAGUAA
rnacentral:rRNA from 1 species